CUGAGUGAGCGGCGCUGGUAGUCACUGGUGAAGGUCGGGGUCUUGUAACCGCCACGCUAUAUUCGUACUCAGGUGUUCCCGGUGGUGCGGUCUUUCGAAGUGGGGUACGAUUUUGUGUGCCUCGCGUUUGUGAAACCAGAGCUACGAGCUCAGCUCCCCCCGGCUCCCGUCCCUCCUGCCAAGGUGCGAGAGCCCAGCAACUGAAGAGUUUUUGAUGGAAGGGAAGAGACACUCUAUUCGUCUCCAGCAUUCUCUCCUAGAGCAUGAACAAUCCAGGUUCAAUGACAGCAUCACAGAGUACCUGAAAAUUGCAUCUACAGUAGUUGAGACAUCCAACAGAAACCAACUACAGCAGCUGAGCCAGCUUAAUGCAGAGCUUCUCCACCAAAUUACAGCUGCAGCUGAUGCUGCUGACUUGAUGCAGCAGAAAUAUGACACGGUGAUGAAGAUGAAGCACUCAGAGUCUUGGGAAUUGACUUCAUCUCUUGGUGCUCAUCUGGACUCUGACUUGAAGUCAUUGCCAAGAGAUGGCUCUGGCUCCGUGCUGCGUCCGUCCUCCACCAGCCUGCAUGAGUCUGGCUCAUACCACUCAGCUGGGCCGCGACGGGGCUCGCCAGUCGCAGCCAGCGCCAGCGCCGGCUCUUCGCAGCGACUUUCGCCACCAGAA